AUCAGCUAACAGACUCACAUCUCAAAAAUAAUUUGAAACUAAGUAGUGACUAAUAUUCAACCAAAUAUUUCUGAUAUAUUAUGUUCACAUCAGUUCCAGAAGUCACAUUAAGUAUACUUAUGUUAAUUUAUAAUCAUAUAUGAAUAAAUAAAUGUAAUUUACUUACAUUUUGUACUCUACAAUCUUUAGUAGUGUGUCCAUAGGCAUAACAUUUCCUACAUCUUUCAAAGGAGUAAAAAGUCCUGACAUUUAUGCUGAGCCAUCCUAUACUAAGUUGUUUUCAAUUUUCAUAAAUGAAUCUUCUUAUCAUACUAGGGAGCUCAACAAUCUAAGUGGCAGUAUUAUAUUUAGUUAUUCUCUUCAUCUUAAAUAAUGGGUUUAAUGUCUGUUUUCGUGGUGAAACCUAAUUGUUACAUUUAACUAACUUAUUAGUCACUUCCUCCAUGUCCCAAUCAUUUGGAAUAGAAGAAAUUAUAAUCUUUGGCAGUCUCAGUCUGGAUUGUCAGGCAGAAAACUAUUUUUUCCUCUGAUUAAUCUCUCCUGACAGUUUAUUCACAUCUUCUGGGGUUGCACAACUGAUUGCCAUACCAUGUCUAGUGAACCUGGUGGACUGAACUUGAAUGCCGAGUCUAUUGAUGUCAAUAUUCUGCUUGAAUUGUUCUCUUAAUUUAUCUGGUUGCACUAUGUUAUCUGCUGAUGGUUGAACAAGCACCAUAUUGUCAUUAUCACAUUGAAUGGAUCACUUCACAACAGUUGCAAAGCUAUUUCCUGUGAAAGAGUCAUUCAAAGUCACUUCAGUUUGAGUUGAAGAAUCACUCAGUCAUUUUGGUCUAAGUAUGAGCCUCUUUGCUCUUCUCAUAGAUGAAGGUUUUAUUGCCAGUAACAUAUUUACAGAACUCAUCAGUAAUUUCAAUUGCCAGAUCAUGAAGUUGAAAAGCUUCAUGAUCCUCCUUUGUUGUCAGUUCUUAUAUUCCUACUGCUGCUUAUCAGUUUCUCAGUUCUGUCUGAGAUACUAUCAGAAUGUCUAUACCACUCAACGAGCUUUUCAAUGUUUGGUAAAUCAAGAUUAAGAAAUAUUUAUUUACUAAAUUUAUC
rnacentral:lncRNA from 1 species